rnacentral:ncRNA from 1 species
AAGUCACAUGAUCGUAUCAAUAUCAGUUAAAACAAUCAAGAUUUCUUGCGUUAUUAUAGGUAUGUGCACUUGUGUGUGUUGUAUGUGUUCUUACUGACAAUUUUUGUGUUACAUUAUACAUAUGUGUUAACGUAUAUAACCAUGCAUAGAAUAAUGAAAUAGGAUCGGUUCUUUUUUGUUUGGUUUGCUGAUCUGAGAUGAUGGUUAAGAGGGACGGAUGGGGGCAUUCGUAUCGCUGCGUGAGAGGUGAAAUUCUUGGACCGUAGCGAGACGUACGACUGCGAAAGCAUUUGCCAAGAAUGUCUUCAUUAAUCAAGAACGAAAGUCAGAGGUUCGAAGGCGAUCAGAUACCGCCCUAGUUCUGACCGUAAACGAUACCAACUAGCGUUCCGUCGGCGGUAAAUACGCCUUGACGGGCAGCUUCCCGGAAACGAAAGUUUUUCGGA